GUGUCAGCAGCCGCGGUAAGACGGAGGGUGCUAGCGUUGUUCGGAAUCACUGGGCGUAAAGGGCGCGUAGGCGGCCAGGCAAGUCGGCUUUGUGAAAGCCCGGGGCUCAACCCCGGAGGUGCGGCCGGGACUGCUUGGCUGGAGGCCGGAAGAGGAGGGUGGAAUACCCAGUGUAGAGGUGAAAUUCGUAGAUAUUGGGUGGAACACCGGUGGCGAAAGCGGCUCUCUGGUCCGGACCUGACGCUGAGGCGCGAAAGCGUGGGGAGCAAACAGGAUUAGAUACCCUGGUAGUCC
rnacentral:rRNA from 1 species